rnacentral:tRNA from 1 species
GGUUUAGCUCAGCGGCAUAAGCGCCUGCCUUGAAAGCAGGCAGUCGUGAGUUCGAUCCUCGGUACCG